UUUCAUCAUUUGAUAAUAACUUUAUAACACAUUUGUUUGUGGUAUAGAUGCAGUGACUGAGACUGGGAGAUACAGUGACUGAAACCUGGUGUGUUCCAGAAAAAGGUCCUGAAACUACUGGUCGACAUCCGCCAUCGCCUGAAGGAAACCAGAAGGGGUCAUGAAAUUCGGUUCCACAGCCACUGAGGUGUAUGUACAUCAAGGUGAACCUCAAGCACGCGUCGCAAAGACUUGGAUUCACUUCGCCCUGAUGAGCCAAGCCUACAGGACUUGAAUUAAGAGUUUUAAAGGGAUAGUUUACUUGAAAUUAUUUUUUUGAAAUGUUUUGGCUUACAUCAAGGGCAUCAGUCAUAUAA